AUCCAGCUGACGAGUCCCAAAAAAGAACGAAAUGCGUGUCCUAGAU
rnacentral:hammerhead_ribozyme from 1 species